UACAGAGGGGGCAAGCGUUGUUCGGAAUUACUGGGCGUAAAGAGCGCGUAGGCGGUGCGAUAAGUCUGGUGUGAAAUCCCUCGGCUCAAUCCAGGAAGUGCACUGGAUACUGUCGAACUAGAGUGCAGGAGAGGAGGGCGGAAUUCCCGGUGUAGAGGUGAAAUUCGUAGAUAUCAGGAGGAACAACAGAAGCGAAGGCGGCGCCCUGGACUGCUGCUGACGCUGAGGCGCGAAAGCGUGGGGAGCAAACAGG
rnacentral:rRNA from 1 species